UAGCUAGCUAAUUAAGUACACAAGCAUAGGAAAUCAUGGCGGGGAAUUAAUUAAGGAGCAAAAUAAAUAUGCAAAAUGAUAUUAUUAUUACUUCAAUAGAUCUCAACCGUUCGAUUCAACAUCCGACGGGAAAACAUGAGAAAAUUGAAGAAAUUAAAAAGAAACAUUACAAUAAGAUGGAGAAAAAACCAAAUGACAAAAGGCAAAUAUUGACCGACUUAGCAUCAAAUCGUAAGAGUGGAAAGCAAAAGCCAGCAGCCAGCCAAAAUGAGCCUCAUAGAUGGAUGGAUGAGUGAUUUAGACGAAUUGGUGCCUUAGAAGCCCGGGGGCUUGGCGGCGAUGAAACUGAUACACUGCACUUGACGCUUGUUGUCGAAUCCGAUGAUACGGACGAAGGCCGUCGGGUACUCCUUGACGCACUCCUGGAGCUCCUUCAACACCUGCGACGAGUCUGUGCAUCCAAACAUGGGCAGCUUCCACAUUGUCCAGUACCUUCCGUCGUAGUACCCUGGCGAGCUGUUGUACUCACGGUACACGAAACCGUGCUACAUAACACACAGGUAAAAUAUUCAAACAUGAGUGUUUUUUUUUUGGAUAAUCAGAAAAUAUAUGAAUAUUAGUACAAUGAAAAAAUAUCGUAUAAAUGUUUUGUUUUUUUAAUAUGUAGACGUAUAUCUUCUGUUUGGUCAUGCAUCUAAGUUAUUUCAUUUUCCAAAGAAUACUGAAUUUUUUCACAACAUUAUAUUAAAAAAAAUAGUACAUAUUCGUUCCUUGCCAUCACUCUGGCAUGGAUAAAAAAAAUAGUGUGACAUUUCAUUUCUCACAGCAUUUUGGAAUGCAUUGUUUUUUAUAUACCGAAGUGGACGAUUCCAUUGAUUAAAGUCGAAAAGAUUCUUUCCAAGAGAUUCUUCAAACGAACCUAUAUCUUUUUCUUUUUUAGAUAAAAUAGAAGCGAAUUUCGAAUUUUCUUCAUUCCCAUCUACAAACUGAGGAUCAAAUCCAUCCUCAGUUUUUUCCUUUCCAGUCACUUGGGUCUCUGCGGUUUGGUACGGAUCUUCUUCCUCUUCAGUUCCCUCCAUUUCGUCAUUUGUUUCUAUUUGUCCUUCUUUUUUUUUUUUUUUUUGGGUAAUGUUUUUAAGUUUGAUAGUAAAAAGAGGUGAGGCUAUUCUUCCUAAAGAAUAGAGGCAGAAAACAAAUAUGCAAAUAUUAAUGACUUGGUCCAUACGAUUUCGUAAAUCUACGAAGAGGUGCUUCAAUUCUACUACUAUCAAAAUGUCAUUAUCCAAUAAAAUUCAUUCAACGUCCAUUAGAGAUUGUAUUAAUUAAAGAGCUAGACGUUUUAUAAUUUUUCAAAUAAUUGUUGAAUCCCACUAAGUGACAAUAUCUAAGAUCUCGAAGUGGACUGAGUAGCGACCCGAAAAAGCUGUAUUAAAAGAGUUACGUACCUCCAACUCGAAUUCCAAGCAAGGAACCCACCCCAUGCGGAGAAGGUAGUCAACCUCCUUAGCCAACGCCUCCUCAGACAACGGGGGAAGGUACGACAGUGUCUCGUACUUCUUCAACCCAAUUGGUGGCCACACCUAUAUACAUUUUCACCAAAUGGUUCAUAUUUGUUUCUAUGUUCAUUCAAAUUCAAAUUCAAGAAGAAAUUAAACUAACCUUCAUGCACUUGACUCUGCUGCCGUUGCUUGGGAUGGUAGAACGGUUGGAGGACCUCUUGGUGACCGGGAAGGCGGAGGAGGAGGACUUGAAUGGUGCGACCAAGCUAGCUUGAACUGCGGCGGUUCUGCCGACGGUGGAGACGCCGGAGGAAGACAUCAAGGAAGCCAUCUCUUAAUUUGCUCUUUGGGGUUCUUCUUGGUAUCCGAUAACUCUUUUUUAGUUCAAAGGAAUGAGCUACUCU
rnacentral:lncRNA from 1 species